rnacentral:rRNA from 1 species
AACGAACGCUGGCGGCAUGCCUAACACAUGCAAGUCGAACGCGUGUAGCAAUACACGAGUGGCGGACGGGUGAGUAACGCGUGGGAACCUGCCCAAUGGUAGGGAAUAACUGCGGGAAACUGCAGCUAAUACCCUAUGCUCCCUACGGGGGAAAGAUUUAUCGCCAUUGGAGGGGCCCNCGUCGGAUUAGCUAGUUGGCGGGGUAACGGCCCACCAAGGCUACGAUCCGUAGCUGGUCUGAGAGGAUGAUCAGCCACACUGGGACUGAGAUACGGCCCAGACUCCUACGGGAGGCAGCAGUGGGGAAUAUUGGACAAUGGGGGAAACCCUGGAUCCAGCAAUGCCGCGUGAGUGAAGAAGGCCUUAGGGUUGUAAAGCUCUUUCGGCGGGACGAUGGUGACGGUACCCGCAGAAGAACGCCCCGGCUAACUUCGUGCCAGCCGCCGCAGUAAG